AUACGGAGGGUGCAAGCGUUAUUCGGGAUCACUGGGCGUAAAGGACGCGUAGGCGGGUUGGCAAGUCAGAUGUGAAAUCCUACAGCUUAACUGUAGAACUGCAUUUGAAACUGCUAACCUAGAGUAUGGGAGGUGGAGAUGGAAUUAGUGGUGUAGGGGUAAAAUCCGUAGAUAUCACUAGGAAUACCGAAAGCGAAGGCGAUCUCCUGGAACAUAACUGACGCUAAGGCGUGAAAGCGUGGGGAGCAAACAGGAUUAGAAACCCGGGUAGUCC
rnacentral:rRNA from 1 species